rnacentral:rRNA from 1 species
AUUGAACGCUGGCGGCAUGCUUUACACAUGCAAGUCGAACGGCAGCGCGGGCUUCGGCCUGGCGGCGAGUGGCGAACGGGUGAGUAAUACAUCGGAACGUGCCCAGUAGUGGGGGAUAGCUCGGCGAAAGCCGGAUUAAUACCGCAUACGACCUGAGGGUGAAAGCGGGGGAUCAUCGGACCUCGCGCUAUUGGAGCGGCCGAUGGCAGAUUAGCUAGUUGGUGGGGUAAAGGCCUACCAAGGCGACGAUCUGUAGCUGGUCUGAGAGGACGACCAGCCACACUGGGACUGAGACACGGCCCAGACUCCUACGGGAGGCAGCAGUGGGGAAUUUUGGACAAUGGGCGAAAGCCUGAUCCAGCAAUGCCGCGUGUGUGAUGAAGGCCUUCGGGUUGUAAAGCACUUUUGGCGGGAACGAAAAGGACUGUGCCAAUACCACGGUUCGAUGACGGUACCCGCAGAAUAAGCACCGGCUAACUACGUG